CACUGUAUUUCAUCUUCACCGACUGCCCUCCAAUCACCGCAGCUCAAUCCACUCUUCUCUCUUCGGGCUGCAAAAUAAAAAAAACAAAACACAAAACAUAUUCUUUUCAUUCAUUUGAAGCUAAAGAGAUUGUUUUGUUUAGCGAUCGGAAGUGAGAAAUUAUCUGUUUUAGCAGAGGGUCACUGCUCUCCUAAUGCCGGGAGGUCUUAAUCUGAUCAAGAAAAAGCUCUUAAAAGUGAGAACCACAUUGUCAUAUUCUGUCACUCGCUGCCGAAGACACAAACGUUUGCUCAUUGCUUCAUACUUAAGGCAACAAGCGAAGUCAGCAAUUUCCAUCCUGUCAUUUUAUGGUGACAUCCUUUGAGGGUCUACCACCUGUAACG